rnacentral:rRNA from 1 species
AUGGGACAAACACAAGCCCCGCAUGCAUGCAUGCAUGCAUAUGCUCUCAUUCAUUCAUCAGCUCACCUACCCACAACCACACCAGGAAACGAAACAAAUACGAGCGAGCUCGAUCACACUUCAGUUCACGAGCGUCAGUGUAGUCAGCGUCAGGCGAACAACCACCACCAGCAAGCCAUGACCUUCCGCGGCUCAUCCCUCCUCCUCUUCCUCCUCCUUGCGCUAGCGCCGGCCAUCCAAGUCCAAGCCGCUCCCACCGCCGGCGCGCCGGUCGUCGACACGGUGGCGGACUCGUGCAACGCGAUCCGCGACUUCGUGGACUACGCCUUCUGCGCCGCCGCGCUGCGGUCCAGCGGGCCGGGCGCCUCCACGGCGGACCGCCACGUGCACCUCCUCGUCGCGGCGGACCUCGCCGCGGCGCGCGGGACGUCGGCGCGGGACGCCGCCACCGCGAUGGCGCGCGACGAGCGGGACCCGGGCGCGCGCGACGGGUUGGAGGCGUGCGGGAUCCUCUACGGGGCCACCUCCGUCCCGGCGCUGCAGUUCAUGCGCGGCUACGCGGCGGCGCGGGCGUGGGACCGGGCGCGCUCGCUGCUGUCGCUCACCGGGCAGGCCGGGAUCGGCUGCGAGGCGGCGCUCGCCGGCGCGCCGGAGGCCAAGGGGAGGAUGGCCGCCGCCAACCGCGAGUUUGACCAGCUCAGCACCAUGGCCACCGCGCUGCUCAACAGGGUCGAUCGUCAGGGGUGA